rnacentral:rRNA from 1 species
AGUGAGCGCUGGCGGCAGGCCUAACACAUGCAAGUCGAACGGCAGCACAAGAGAUCUUGCUCUCUGGGUGGCGAGUGGCGGACGGGUGAGGAAUGCAUCGGAAUCUGCCCAUUUGUGGGGGAUAACCUCGGGAAACCGGGACUAAUACCGCAUACGACCUACGGGUGAAAGCAGGGGAUCUUCGGACCUUGCGCAGAUGGAUGAGCCGAUGCCGGAUUAGCUAGUUGGAGGGGUAAAGGCCCACCAAGGCGACGAUCCGUAGCUGGUCUGAGAGGGUGAUCAGCCACACUGGGACUGAGACACGGCCCAGACUCCUACGGGAGGCAGCAGUGGGGAAUAUUGGACAAUGGGCGCAAGCCUGAUCCAGCCAUGCCGCGUGUGUGAAGAAGGCCUUCGGGUUGUAAAGCACUUUUGUUGGGAAAGAAAAGCAGCCGGUUAAUACCCGGUUGUCAUGACGGUACCCAAAGAAUAAGCACCGGCUAACUUCGUG